rnacentral:rRNA from 1 species
AUGAUCGCCAAUGGUAAGUAUAGAAAGAAGAGGAUCUUUCAGCUUGAACAAGAUGAGGGAACGAUUCUUGGUCAGGAAAACUUAAAGCUUUAUAUUACUGAGUAUUACAAGCAACUGUUUGGGCCUCCAGAGGAUAAUUUUGUGUCGCUGGAUGAGUCUAGGAUUGAGGAUGUGCCUCAACUGACGGCUGUUGAGAAUGAUAUUUUAGUUGCUCCUUUUUCUGAGAAAGAGGUGUAUGACGCCAUUUCCCAGAUGAAGAAUAUUAAGGCUCCUGGCCCAGAUGGUUUCCCGGCAGAGUUCUACAAGAAGUGUUGGCACAUUAUUAAAGGAGAUCUAUUGCCUUUGUUCAAUGAUUUAUUCUCUGGACAGCUUCACCUUUUUCAGCUGAAUUUUGGAAUGAUAACACGUCUUCCCAAGAAGACAGAGGCAGUGCGGAUUGAGCAAUUCCGGCCAAUCUGUCUUCUUAAUGUUAGUUUCAAAAAUUUUACCAAGGUCGGGACGAAUAGGCUCACACAGAUUGCGCAUACUGUGGUACAGCCUACUCAAACUGCUUUCAUACGAGACAGGAACAUUCUUGAAGGGGUGGUGGUACUGCAUGAAACGCUCCAUGAGAUUCACACGAAAAAACUGGAUGGAGUGGUUUUAAAGGUGGAUUUCGAGAAAGCGUAUGAUAAAGUCAAAUGGCCUUUUCUUCAACAGGCAUUAUGCAUGAAGGGUUUUGAUGAAGCUUGGCGACGCCAAGUAGAAUCCUUCACGCAAAAAGGGAGUGUUGGAAUUAAAGUGAAUGGCGAUAUAGGUCAUUAUUUCCAGACACACAAGGGCCUCAGACAAGGUGCUCCAAUGUCUCCUAUUCUGUUUAACAUUGUCGUUGAUAUGUUGGCAAUCUUGAUAGGUCGGGCAAAGGAGGCCGGACAAGUAGGUGGCUUGGUGCCUCAUCUAGUUGAUGGUGGUGUGUCCAUCCUACAAUACACCGAUGAUACAAUCAUCUUUAUGGAGCACGACUUGGCUAAGGCGAGAAAUAUGAAGCUGGUAUUGUGCCUUUUCGAGCAAUUGACCGGUUUGAAGAUUAACUUUCAUAAAAGCGAGUUGUUCUGUUUUGGUAGAGCCAAAGAGGAACAAGAUGCAUACAAGCAGCUGUUUGGUUGCGAAUUGGGGUCUCUACCGUUCACUUAUCUAGGUAUCCCCAUUCACCAUCGUAAGUUGACUAACAGCGAAUGGAAGUGUAUCGAGGAUCAGUUUGAGAAGAAACUGAGCUGCUGGAAGGGCAAACUCAUGUCGUAUGGAGGCCGAUUAAUUCUCAUUAAUUCGGUGCUCACGAGUAUGCCUAUGUUUCUUUUAUCCUUUUUUGAAGUACCAGUUGGAGUUAGGAAAAGGCUGGACUUCUAUUGGUCACGUUUCUUCUGGCAGAGUGAUGAACUUAAGAGAAAGUACCGUUUAGCCAAAUGGGAUGUCAUCUGCCGACCAAAAGACCAAGGGGGUCUUGGGGUUGAGAACCUUGAAGUCAAGAACAGAUGCCUUCUCAGUAAGUGGCUAUAUAAGUUAUCUGCCGAGACUGAGGCAACUUGGGCGCAGAUUCUUCGUAACAAGUAUCUGUACUCUAAGACCUUGUCGCAGGUGACAAUUAGACCAACUGAUUCGCCUUUCUGGAAGAGGAUAAUGAGGGUCAAAGCUACUUUCUUUGAUAGAACAAAGUUUAUUGUCGGUGAUGGCAAUUACACUCGAUUCUGGGAGGAUACUUGGCUUGGUGAUACGCCGCUGGCUCUUCAGAACCCGUCGCUAUAUCAUAUUGUGCAGCGACGUGAUGCUCUGGUUGCAAUGAGUUUGCAAUCCGCUCCCCUUAAUAUUCACUUUAGGAGGGUGCUUGCUGGGGACCGGUGGGAGGCUUGGAUUCAUCUGGUGAGUAGACUAAUGGAGGUUCAGCUUACUCAUCAGCCCGAUCAGUUGUGUUGGAAGCUUACUAGAUCUGGAGAAUUCACAGUCAAGUCGAUGUACAUUGAUGUCAUCAACUCUAGUGUUAUUCCUAGUUCAAAACAUGUUUGGAAAGUUAAGGUUCCUCUGAAAAUCAAAGUGUUUAUGUGGUUUGUACAUAAACAAGUCGUUCUAACAAAAGAUAAUUUGAUUAAGCGCAAUUGGACGGGUUCUACUAGGUGUAGUUUCUGUGAUCGGGAUGAAACUAUCCAGCAUCUUUUCUUUGAUUGCCCGUUGGCGAGAGUGUUGUGGCGCUCGGUGCAAAUUGCCUUUAACAUUACUCCUCCGAAUUCGGUCAUGUCGUUAUUUGGAACGUGGCUUGUUGGUAUAGAGGCCAAGACAGCGAGACAAAUUCGAGUAGGAGCAUGUGCAUUGUUAUGGGCAAUUUGGAACUGCAGAAAUGAUUUGGAUUUUAACAAAACAACAACUAUUCAUUUUUUGCAGGUUUUAUUCCGGGCUACUGCGCUAAUCCGUAUGUGGUCCUUACUCACUUCGACGGAGGCCAGGGAGCAUUUGGUUACUGGAUCUGUCCGGUGA